CAGUUUUCAAUAUUGCUGCCAGACUGCCUUGUACCGGUACACGGGUUUCUUGUACCGGUACAAGGCCAUAAGUAGCCAAACCCGAGGGCUCGAGUUCUCGGUUUCGCAGGCCUUGUACCGGUACAAGGGGCCUUGUACCGGUACAGCGCCUGGACUGCACAAACCCGAGGGCUGUCUGCACUCUGGUCGCUGGUUGUACCGGUACAACCAUCACCCUUGUACCG
rnacentral:lncRNA from 1 species